GAUGAACGCUGGCGGCGUGCCUAAUACAUGCAAGUCGAACGCUGGAAAUCUAGCUUGCUAGAUUGAAGGAGUGGCGAACGGGUGAGUAAUACAUAAGCAACCUACCCACGAAGACUGGGAUAAUCUCUGGAAACGGGGACUAAUACCGGAUAGGUAAUCGGAAGGCAUCUUCUGAUUAUUAAAGGUUAAAAACACUGGUGGAUGGGCUUAUGGCGCAUUAGUUAGUUGGUGAGGUAACGGCCCACCAGGACGAUGAUGCGUAGCCGGCCUGAGAGGGUGAACGGCCACAUUGGGACUGAGACACGGCCCAGACUCCUACGGGAGGCAGCAGUAGGGAAUUUUCGGCAAUGGGGGAAACCCUGACCGAGCAACGCCGCGUGAGUGAUGACGGCCUUCGGGUUGUAAAGCUCUGUUGUAAGGGAAGAACGGUAGAUAGAGAAUAUCUAAAUGACGGUACCUUACCAGAAAGCCACGGCUAACUACGUG
rnacentral:rRNA from 1 species